rfam:Oryza barthii chromosome 12, whole genome shotgun sequence.
UUUAAGUACAACCAUGAGUUUUCGCGUCCAACUUUAGUCGUCCGUCUUAUUUAAAAAAAAAUUAUAAUUAGUAUUUUUUUUAUGAGAUGAUAAGAUAUAAAUAGUACUUUAUACGUGACUUAUGUUUUAAUUUUUUUAAAAAAAAAUUAAAUAAGACGGACGAUUAAAGUUGGACGCAAAAACUCAUGGCUACACUUGAA